UGGGGAAUAUUGCACAAUGGGCGCAAGCCUGAUGCAGCAACGCCGCGUGAACGAUGAAGGUCUUCGGAUCGUAAAGUUCUGUUGCAGGGGAAGAUAGUGACGGUACCCUGUGAGGAAGCCCCGGCUAACUAUGUGCCAGCAGCCGCGGUAAUACGUAGGGGGCUAGCGUUAUCCGGAUUUACUGGGCGUAAAGGGUGCGUAGGUGGUCUUUCAAGUCGGUGGUUAAAGGCUACGGCUCAACCGUAGUUAGCCUCCGAAACUGGAAGACUUGAGUGCAGGAGAGGAAAGUGGAAUUCCCAGUGUAGCGGUGAAAUGCGUAGAUAUUGGGAGGAACACCAGUAGCGAAGGCGGCUUUCUGGACUGCAACUGACACUGAGGCACGAAAGCGUGGGUAGCAAACAGG
rnacentral:rRNA from 1 species